CAUACACCACGCAGGACUGACAGGCUGUAGCUGCUUUGCCUCGUCACAGGCUGCUCAGCCAGAGCCGCAUCCAGUCUCCCCCUGCCCGCCAGCCCUCGGGCGCCUCCUCCCUUGCCGGGCUGUUACACCGAGUCACUGCCACCGAGGACCCGCAACGAAGACACCCUGUUGCCCAGGGCCCUCAAUGCCACGGCCCUCCUCCCAACACUUCCCCAGAUGAACCCCGCCGGCCUCAGGACCGGCACUUGUGGGAGGCUGAGAACACGCUCGCCUUGUGCUUUCUACAUGUGGAGAGAGACACGCGUGUGAAGAGGGCAGGGGUUUGUGUUGUUCACUGACGUGGUCUGUGUCUGGAGUCCUGCACACUGCAGGAUGAAAUGUCGGCUAAAUAAAUAAAUCCAAUAUCCUGCACAACGGUUUUUCUCAAGCAGUAAGAAAUGGCUGAUUCAAGUCAAGGAGCUUACAGAAAACACCAGAAGAGAAGAACACAUGUAACUCCAGGAAGCAGCAGCCAAAUUCAAAAGGGAGGAAGUGGCAGAAGCCAGGCUAAACAGUUCCGGGAGGACCAGGACAAGUGGACGUGUGCAAUAACUGAGAAACACCAUCAGAACUGCUUUCCCCUGCAUGUCAGGAGUUGAAAUUACAAGGAGCUCCAGUGACUUAAUCCUGCUAAAAUAUUGAAUAAAAUUGCAU